CUCGCCUUCCGGUGACUCACUGCUGACUCUUAGCUCUGUAUCUUGGAGGUUUUUCCGCAGCGGUGUGUGUAACGUGUACCAUCCUUCAUGGCCACCGCCCACUGUGCCACAAAACUGCAGGUGUGAUGUGACGCCAUCGGGACUGUGUCUGGCCUCCCUCCUGGAAAGUGCAAGGCUGUCUGCAGCGUCUGUCCUUUAGCUUCACGUGUUGGCUUUCAUGUGACAGGACUUCUUCCUCCUCCUGGCUUCUGAGCACUGCCACCCGCCCGCCCAGCAGCAGGAAGGCUUCUUCCCUUCUCCAGACUGCGGAGAGUCCUUCCACCUCUCCGCGCCCAGCGCAGUGCUCGAGAUGGGGCCUGAAAUACGCUGCGGUCACUUCCAGGGCGGCCAGGGUGUGUGCGAGCUGGGGGAGGGGAGGGGCCAUCUCCCCUGGCCUUGAGGUGUCUGAAUCCAUCCAUCCUGCAGUCGCCCCGCAGUGCAGGUUUUUAUCUUGGAUCUCACGCAGCUGGAGUUUACUUUUCUAAGGGGUGUGAGCUAGCAUCUGAUUUAUUUUCCCCCCUUGUGAAUGAACAGCUUUGUGGGGACAGCAUCCUGGGUCAUCUUUCCUCUCCCUUCCUGCUUCAAUGGUCCCCUUUGUCCUGAAAGCGCAUUCCCGUUCAUGGGGCUGUUUCUGGUCUCCUCCUCUGUUCCUGUGUUUUCAGCCUUUCUCGUAUCGUUCAUCUUUCUGUUCCAAGGUUGGAACAAUGCUCCUGGAGCCAAUGCUACACUGGCAAAGGAUCGGGUCUGUUAGAAUCUGCCUGGGCUUUUGUAGCAAGCAUCCUGUGGACGGGUGAUGGUUUGUGGUCACUUCUUGCUUGGCGUUGGUAGCAGGUAAUGAGUCCCCACUUGUCUGCUGAGUCACACUGCUUCGCCCUGAAUUUCCACAUUGCCGGCAAUGGAUUUUGUUCAGGCUGUGAAAGGCAGUGACUUCAGAAAGCACCAGGCUCCGGUCCUGCGUGACCCUGCUGGCCUCUGGGUGCCACUGGAGAGAGAGGUGCAGGCUGGGCGCUGUGCUCCAUGGAGGAAGGAGGCAUGGGUUCUGGGGUGACUGCCUUGAACUUGGGGUGCCAGGUUGCUGGGGUGUGGGUGUGUCUCUAUGGAGUGUGUCCGUGUGGGGGUUUGCACGUGUCCGUAAUGGCUAGUGUAUGUGAGGGUGCCCUGUGCUUGUGUAUGGACAUGGGAAUAGGCACACUUGCCUGUGAGUGUGUCAGGAAGUGUGUGUGUGUGUGUGUGUGUGUGUGUGUGUGUGUGUGUGUGUUCUGUGUUCGCUUGGGUGGGUGCUUGUGCAGGCACUGAUGCCAUCUCUGUGUCUCUCCAAGGCUGGCACCCGGAUCUGACAGUGUGGUUUGGAGGAAGGCCUUCUCUCUGCCCUGCCCCUCCCCUGCCCUCCUGCUUAGUGUAGGACUUGGAGACCCUGAUUUGACCCAGCUUGGGUCCCCGGGGACUGAGUUCGCAGGUGCAGGGACAUAGAUUUCCACGGUGGCCUUGUGCUGUACUUCCUGCUGGGAGUGUGGGGCUCAGACAGGGCAGUUGGUAUGGUCAUACACCUGGUGUCACUGGGACUGCACAGGCAGAAGACAAGGGAGCGAGAUGAUCUUCUGCCCAGGAGCCUGAGGGAGGCUACUGUCCAACGAGGCCCUGGCCAAGUGGAGAGCGCCACCGUGUCCUGCAGAAGAUCAUAGCUUACAUAAUAGAAACAAAAUGAGGUGAAACAAAUCCUCCGGUCCAGUUAGUGUGAGGGAAAAGAAAAAUUUGUUGGCUCAUGUAGCUUGCAAAUUCAAAGGUAAGUAGCAGGUACAGCUGGAUCCAGGCCUGACCCUUUGUUAUGGAUUGAGAACUGGUGGUCAACUUAUCGCCAGCUGGAUUACAUCAGCAUGCAUUGAGUGAAGAUGCUCCACCUGAGGAGGGUUGCCAGGAUAAAUAGGCGGAGAAGAAGAGAGGUGUUGAGAGGGAUUGAGGCGUUAAGGAGGCAUUGUGGGUUCUCCUACGAGCUGCUGUCUGAGCUGUUGGUUCUCCUGGAGAAGCUUUGGUCUUCACAUCAAGCAUUGCAUCCUGGCUCCAGAGGGGAAGACAUGUGCUGCUUGGUCUCCAGGAUGAACUCGUCACGCUGCUUCCUGGCACGUACCCGACUGUGCUUGUCAUCGGAGGAGUUCAGGGCCUCUGUGUCGCUGAGGACAGCUGUGGUGCCUUUCAGGACAGCCCCGCUCUUUGUUGUGAGUGUGACUUCUCGGCUCCAGUGUAGAACCCUCAUCCCACUAGCACAGCUCCUUCAUCCUGCUGGCAUAGACUUUCUGGCUUCGACUGCUGACCCUUGGGUCUUCCUGGCACCGAUCCGUAAAAGAGACUGGUGUGAGUCCGUCUUGUGGGUCUGGGCCUCCAGUUGGACUCAUGGAGGCGUUGUCCUGAGCUCUGGUUUUUUAUCUGGACUCAUGUGGGACAUUGCCGUGGGGUUUAGGCUUUUGACUAAAUAAUCUAUGUCUUUGAUAUUGUGGAUAGAUUUCCUGCAUUUUCCUAUGUUAACUUCUGGUGACCAUUAUAAAAAUAUUAUAAACCCCA